rnacentral:hammerhead_ribozyme from 1 species
GUUCUGAUGAAGAGUCCCAAACUAGGACGAAACAACUGUCCAGUAC